AAAAGAAACCAACAGGGAUUGCCCCAGUAACGGCGAGUGAAGCGGCAACAGCUCAAAUUUGAAAUCUGGCCUCCGGGUCCGACUUGUAAUUUGUAGAGGAUGCUUUUGGCGAGGUGCCUUCCGAGUUCCCUGGAACGGGACGCCAUAGAGGGUGAGAGCCCCGUCUGGUCGGACACCGACCCUCUGUAUAGCUCCUUCGACGAGUCGAGUAGUUUGGGAAUGCUGCUCAAAAUGGGAGGUAUAUGUCUUCUAAAGCUAAAUAUUGGCCAGAGACCGAUAGCGCACAAGUAGAGUGAUCGAAAGAUGAAAAGCACUUUGAAAAGAGGGUUAAAAAGUACGUGAAAUUGUUGAAAGGGAAGCGCCUAUGACCAGACUUGGGCCCGGUGAAUCAUCCAGCGUUCUCGCUGGUGCACUUUGCCGGGCACAGGCCAGCAUCAGUUUGGCGCGGGGGAAAAAGGUUUUGGGAAUGUGGCUCCCUCGGGAGUGUUAUAGCCCAUUGCGUAAUACCCUGCGCCGGACUGAGGUACGCGCAUCGCAAGGAUGCUGGCGUAAUGGUCAUCAGCGACCCGUCUUGAAACACGGACCAAGGAGUCGUCUUCGUAUGCGAGUGUUCGGGUGUCAAACCCCUACGCGUAAUGAAAGUGAACGCAGGUGAGAGCUUCGGCGCAUCAUCGACCGAUCCUGAUGUUCUCGGAUGGAUUUGAGUAAGAGCAUACGGGGCCGGACCCGAAAGAAGGUGAACUAUGCCUGUAUAGGGUGAAGCCAGAGGAAACUCUGGUGGAGGCUCGCAGCGGUUCUGACGUGCGAAUCGAUCGUCAAAUAUGGGCAUGGGGGCGAAAGACUAAUCGA
rnacentral:rRNA from 1 species